GAUGAACGCUGGCGGCGUGCCUAAUACAUGCAAGUCGAGCGAACAGACGAGGAGCUUGCUCCUCUGACGUUAGCGGCGGACGGGUGAGUAACACGUGGAUAACCUACCUAUAAGACUGGGAUAACUUCGGGAAACCGGAGCUAAUACCGGAUAAUAUAUUGAACCGCAUAGUUCAAUAGUGAAAGACGGUUUUGCUGUCACUUAUAGAUGGAUCCGCGCCGCAUUAGCUAGUUGGUAAGGUAACGGCUUACCAAGGCAACGAUGCGUAGCCGACCUGAGAGGGUGAUCGGCCACACUGGAACUGAGACACGGUCCAGACUCCUACGGGAGGCAGCAGUAGGGAAUCUUCCGCAAUGGGCGAAAGCCUGACGGAGCAACGCCGCGUGAGUGAUGAAGGUCUUCGGAUCGUAAAACUCUGUUAUUAGAGAAGAACAAAUGUGUAAGUAACUAUGCACGUCUUGACGGUACCUAAUCAGAAAGCCACGGCUAACUACGUG
rnacentral:rRNA from 1 species